ACUUUACGAAUUUCCUUUGACUAGGAAUCCAUAGCUGGUGCGAGACCCGUACGUAUCGUCGACUUGUUGUACGCGUUUACUUCUUGGAGUCGGGUUGUUUGAGAUCGCAGCCCUAAGUAGGUGGUAUACUUCAUCUAAAGCUAAAUACGACUACGAAUCCGAUAGCAAACAAGUACCGUGAGGGAAAGUUGCAAAGUACUUUGAAGAGAGAGUUCAAGAGGACGUGAAACCGAUAGGAUGGAAGCAGAUGAAGUUGACGAACGAGUGUUGUAUUCAGAGCUGCAUCUUGUGUGCGGCUUGUUCUUGCAACCGAGUGGGCCGGCGGCUCUGGUUAAUGCACUGUGCCAAUCGUUGAUGGUGACCCUGCGGAGGGAUAAUCGGUCGGCGUGCGGUGCGUGGUAUAGCUAGGGUUUUCUCCCCGGUCUUGAACUCCGCCCCUCCUCUGACCCCUUUUGAAACACGCACCAGGGAGUGUAGCUUUUACGCGACUCUUAGAGUGUGAGAAAUUUUUGGGGCGCCACAAAUGAGAGUGCCUCUUGCUCUUGUGACUUGAGAUGCUUUCUCUCGUGGGCAGGGCCUCAGACCAGUGUUUUCUCGCUAUCUUGUGCUAUGCG
rnacentral:rRNA from 1 species